rnacentral:rRNA from 1 species
GACAGAGGGGGCAAGCGUUGCUCGGAAUCACUGGGCGUAAAGGGCGCGUAGGCGGGAUGGCAAGUCAGUCGUGAAAUCUCUCGGCUCAACCGAGAAACGUCGGAUGAUACUGCCGUUCUUGAGGGAUGCAGAGGAGACUGGAAUUCCCGGUGUAGCGGUGAAAUGUGUAGAGAUCGGGAGGAACACCGGUGGCGAAGGCGGGUCUCUGGGCAUCUCCUGACGCUGAGGCGCGAAAGCGUGGGGAGCAAACGGG